UGGAGUGGUCAACAACACCAUAGCUCUCUUUGACGGAUAGGAUUUAAAAGGAGAAGUUGUAUUGCUAUAGACUUACUCUAAAAUUUCUCUAAAAUUUUAUACGGUUCAGCAAAAAGAGGCUUCCGUCGCUGUUGAAUGUGCCCGGAAAGACACCUUUAAGUGGUUAGACUGGAGUGAUAACACAACUGUGAAGAAAUUGUUUCAAGAAACAGGAAGUUCUGUGGCCAAUAGUUACUCUCUUGUAGAAAAAGGAAAUCCAAUGUGCCAUGACAGGAAGUUACUAAUGCAACCAUCUCUUUAUCUGCUCUUCUGGUUUAGAGAGUUCUCUGCUGCAGUUGUGAACUGAAGUUAAUCAAGUAUUAACAGCUUUCAACUGGGUGUGCGAUUUACAAUAUGGCACCUCCAGAUUUUGAUCUCUCACCAGUAAAGCUCAUAGCAACAGUUGCAUCGUGUCAGACAAGGUCAAGACAAUGUUGUGUCAGUUUCCUGGGAAAUGUCACCAUCAAAUAAGUUCAGUGGCUUGUCAUUAAUGCAGUUGUUGUCCAUUAGACAAACUAAAUCAGGUAAACUGAUAAUCUGGUGUACGCUGCCAAUCUUUUAUGUAUGGAUGCUACAGUCAGGCUCUCCCUCAUUGGUUCAAAUUAGCCUAUCUCACGCUAAAAUGGCGUCUUUCGGCUUUCCUUUCCGGUCCCUGGAACUAAACUUCCGGUCAGGGUAAUAGCCGUUCAUAGUGAAUGACCACGGGGGAGCAGAGAAGCUAGAGGUGGUGUAAUAAAACUCUGUGAACCGGUAUCAAACAAAAACAUCCCGCUUUUAGCUUUCGUACAUUUCUGCUUGAUGUGGGCCGUCGAAGAAAAUGGAUUCAAGCCACGAAGAGGGAGGAGGGAACACUAUUUAACGUCUAUAAUGUCACAGUUGUUUGUAGCAUAGCAUUUUCGUAUUAGCGACCUGUUCGGAAUAGCUAGCUUCUAACGUUAGCGCUUUAAGUAAAGCCAUGUAGAGUUAAAUAAGACAGUGCCUUGUGUUUGUUCAACGGUCUCUGACACAACCCAAGCCAGGACGUCUGUUUUCACGACGACAACGAGGGACUGGGGUUGUUUGAGAAGUCCAACCGUGUGGAUAGGAAGAUGUUGCUGUUGCUAGCUUAGCUAGCUUUGCUUCGGACAACGAACGAACGAACGACCGUCCCGGUGCAUUGGAUGCAAGCUCACACGAGGAUAAAGGAACUGGAGGUGCUUGUGUUGACACGACAUCAAUGAAGGUAAUUCGUCUCACCAAGUCCUCCCCUCGGAAAUGUCUGACUUGGUGUCAGUGACUGUCACACCAGGGAAGGGAAGGCUAGUGACCACAAGCUAACCUUGCUCCCAGAUGGAUCAUAACAAAGCCACAGAAGAAACCUUGACCUGCCAGAGAUCCACGUAGUGAUCCACGUACUCCAGCCCCUGCCUCAUAGCUGUGGUUUGCCAUGUUUCCUUGAGGAUCCUCCCUGCCAACCACUGCCGGGUCUUAUUCCCCCUGGCAGCAAGGACUUCAUGACUUGCUUUGAGCCUGCUCUCUUCACAGGUGGCUCAGAGUGUACAUACAUACACACAUAUAUAUAUAGAUAAUUGGGUUAUAGUUUGUUCAUUGUGUUCAUUUUGUGUGUACUUUUCUAUGUUUUGUAUUUCUAUAAUGUCCACACGUUUUUCAAUAAAACAUGUGUCUUGUUGGUACUUUGACACUAACCUUUGUAGCGCAUACCGUAUAAUGUAGAUCUCACUUUGCAGCUUCCCAAUGUUUUUUUUAAAUGACCAACUGGUGUAGUUAUGUUUACCUGAGCACAUGGCUUGUGCAACAAUGUG